rnacentral:rRNA from 1 species
UACGUAGGGGGCAAGCGUUGUCCGGAAUCAUUGGGCGUAAAGCGUGCGCAGGCGGUUUUGUAAGCCAGAUGUGAAAGCCCCGGGCUUAACCUGGGAAUGGCAUUUGGGACUGCAAGGCUUGAGUGCGGCAGAGGAGACUGGAAUUCCUGGUGUAGCAGUGAAAUGCGUAGAUAUCAGGAGGAAUACCGAUGGCGAAGGCAGUUCUCUGGGCCGUAACUGACGCUGAGGAGCGAAAGCGUGGGGAGCGAACAGG